GGCAACGUGGCCGAGUUGGUUAUGGGUAAGCUUACCUUGCACAAGAUGGGAAACCUCGCGCGUUCGAAUCGCGUCGUUGUCA